AUUGUAAAGAAGCUUGGAGUCAUAAUAUAUUUUAACGUUAUAUGUUUGCUGUUCUUCAUCUUUUUAAAUAUGAAGUCUAUCCAUGUUUGUGUUUACAGAGGUCAUGUACACUGUGGUCAACUUUGUGGACGCUGAAGAGGUUUCUGGGUAAAGAUGAUAGAAAUAUAAUGAAGUAACAGUGGAAGCUAAAACAUCAGACUGAUCCAGACACUGAAGAAAUUGAUGUCACUGCAAUCUGGCCAAAAUGAUACAACUAUAUUGAAGUAGCCUACUGUAAUGAAGCUGCAGAACGUCACAGAGACUCUGAGGACAUCAACACAGAAAAUCAAGGCUCCAAAGAGAUGUCUGUCCAGAUGAGGGUGCAUCAACGUUACCUUUGCUGACAAGUAUAUGCUUUACAAUGUAAAACCUAACAGUUAACUUAACUCAAACCAUUUAAGGAAAUCGGUUGCCUUAAAUCAUUAAGUUUUAAAAAAACAUACAUUUGAGUACUGUGAACUUAAGUCUUGUGCAAUUAUGCACUUAUAUUUAGGUAGUGUGAACUUAAAUAUAAGUGCUUAACUGCAUGUGACUCCAUUUGUUUAAGUUCACAGUACUCAAAUCUAUGUGUUUUAAAACUUGAAUGGUUUAAUGCAACCGGUUUUCUUAAAUGUGAGAAAUUACAGUGUUACAGUGAGAAAUGUUUGAAUAAUUCCAAGUCAGAGCUCUGUGAUUGAUUCUACACUGCAAAAAAAUCACUUUCUAAC